GCGGGGGUAACCAAGCGGUCAAAAUCAUAGAUUUUGAGCCUUGCCAUAACUUGGCAAGACGGUCAAAAUCAUAAAUAAAAAUGGCUACAGGUGCAGGACUUAAGUUUUUCGGACUUAAGUUUUGAGGUCUUUAUUCCGAUGAGAGAUCCUGUGGCUUAGUGCCUUCGUCGGUUCGAAUCCGGCCCCCCGCA
rnacentral:tRNA from 1 species